GACAGAGGGUGCAAACGUUGCUCGGAAUCAUUGGGCGUAAAGCGCGUGUAGGCGGCUCGCCACGUCGGAUGUGAAAGCCCGGGGCUCAACCCCGGCAGUGCAUCCGAAACGAGGGAGCUGGAGUGCUGGAGAGGCGGGUGGAAUUCCUGGUGUAGAGGUGAAAUUCGUAGAUAUCAGGAGGAACACCGGUGGCGAAGGCGACCCGCUGGCCAGCAACUGACGCUGAGACGCGAAAGCGUGGGGAGCAAACGGG
rnacentral:rRNA from 1 species